rnacentral:rRNA from 1 species
UACGUAGGGUGCAAGCGUUGUCCGGAAUUAUUGGGCGUAAAGAGCUCGUAGGCGGUCUGUCGCGUCUGCUGUGAAAACUCGGGGCUUAACCCCGGGCCUGCAGUGGGUACGGGCAGACUAGAGUGCGGUAGGGGGAGACUGGAAUUCCUGGUGUAGCGGUGAAAUGCGCAGAUAUCAGGAGGAACACCGGUGGCGAAGGCGGGGUCUCUGGGGCCGUAACUGACGCUGAGGAGCGAAAGCGUGGGGAGCGAACAGG